CGAGCAAGCCAGAAGUUUUUGUUAAAAGUCAAAAGAUGAAUUCAGUAUGCACAGCCCUUGUGAGCAGGAACCCACCCAUGCCGAGCUCACUCUGAGGAAAUGGGAUCAGGCCCUAGGAUGCCUCAGGAGGAAAAUGGACAGAGGCCAAUCCAAGAGGGCCUCCCUGCGGUGCCCUGGGAAGGAGGUUGCUCCAUCUUUACUUCCUGACACAGAAGACAACCUCCCAGAGGACGCAGGUUGUUGAGGUGGCUUGAUUCUUCCCUGACCCACCCUGGACCACCCUUGCCCACACCCUGAGGCCUAUUCCUGGACAGAAAAACUGUUGCUCAAGUCAGAUUGACCAUCAGUGUGUUUUCUUUGAAACUAGCUCUUUGUACCCACCUCCUCUUAAGUUGCCUACAAAAAACCCUUGCUCUCUGUCACCAUGUGCCCUUCCCUCCUGAUUGCUCAGGUCGGCUUUGCGCCCCUCUUCAAGGCUCAAUAAAGUUUGUUUGGUCUGUUGAGGUUGGUCCUCUCCUUGGUCUGUUUCU
rnacentral:lncRNA from 1 species